CCUACGGGAGGCAGCAGUGAGGAAUAUUGGUCAAUGGCCGGAAGGCUGAACCAGCCAUGCCGCGUGAAGGUCAGUGCCCUAUGGGCGUUAAACUUCUUUUGUGCGGGAGCAAUAAUGGUCACGUGUGGCCAGAAGAGAGUACCGUACGAAUAAGCAUCGGCUAACUCCGUGAGAGCAGCCGCGGUAAUACGGGGGAUGCAAGCGUUAUCCGGAUUUAUUGGGGUUAAAGGGUGCGUAGGCUGUGAGGUAAGUCAGCGGUGAAAUGCCCCCGCUCAACGGGGUGAAGUGCCAUUGAUACUGCCUGGCUGGAAUGCGGAUGCCGUGGGAGGAAUGUGUGGUGUAGCGGUGAAAUGCAUAGAUAUCACACAGAACACCGAUUGCGAAGGCAUCUCACGAAUCCGCGAUUGACGCUGAUGCACGAAAGCGUGGGUAUCAAACAGGAUUAGAUACCCUAGUAGUC
rnacentral:rRNA from 1 species